rnacentral:pre_miRNA from 1 species
CGGGGGAGGCCGGAUCCUGGGCUGUGUCCCGGCGCCCUAUGCUCCGGGGCCUGCGCUGUUGGAUUCAUGCUCCCGGCCGUGCAACCCCUC